CUAACGUCAACUUAACCUAAAUUUGAGAAGUAAAGUUCAGAUUUGCUUAUCCUAGUUGAAGGUGAUAAGUCAAGUACAAGUGAUUAGUAAAUUUGCCGUUUGUUAAGUUAUAAUAUUCAGGAAACUUCUAAAUAAAACAUAUUCGUUUUAUGUCUUUAGUAUACUGUCUAAUCAAAAUACAGGUUUUCUUCAAAAGAACUCUACAUGCUCUACAGUACGUGUGUGACAGUUAAACUGUAGAGUUUGUUCAGUACACUGGGAAAUGGCCCCAACAGUGCCUUCAGAAGGAUUUUGGGGCCCACCAACUGCUACAAUUGACUGGUGUGAGAAAAAUUAUCAAGUCAGCUUUUAUGUUGCUGAAUGGUGGAACACCAUUAGCAAUCUCAUGAUCAUCUUGCCUCCUCUCUGGGGAAUAUUUGAGGUUUACAAUCAGGGAUUCGAUAAAAGAUUUAUAUUCUGCAACUUUUUAGUCGCUAUUGUUGGUGUUGGAUCGUGGUUCUUCCACAUGACUCUACUCUAUGAAAUGCAACUGUUUGAUGAACUUCCGAUGGUGUACGGCUCUCUCUUCUUGUUGUACUGUCUAAUUGAGGCACCCAAGGCUGCAAAUAAGGAAUUCUUUUCCAACAAACCUCUGUUUGCCUUUCUGUUGACGUUUGCAGUCAUGUUCACCCUCAUUUACCUCGUUUGGCCACAGCCUUGGUUCCAACAUUCAUCUUAUGGUGUGAUUGUCCUUGGAUCUUUUGGGAUGAAAGCAAAAAUCAUCAGAGAGAAGAAGUGCAGAAUUUGCAAGAGAAUUUUUUUAACAUCAAUAUCAUUAUAUUUGUUUGCAUUUUUCUUGUGGAAUGUGGACAAGCUUUUCUGUUCAUCAUUGGAGAACGUGCGGCAGAAAGCACCGACAGGUGUCGGUCCAGUCACACAGCUCCAUGCUUGGUGGCAUGCUCUCGCUGGAUACUCCUCUUACCUCUUGGUGCUAUUUUGCAUUCACACUUGGUAUGACUUCCACAAACAGAAAGAAGAGAAGAGGAAGUUAGAAUUGACUCACCUUGGGUUUAGUCUGCGAUGGUCAUAGUUAGUCCCCAUUUACAGAUGGUGUUAAAACUUGCAGUCAUAUAACUGUGCUCUUGGUGCGUAAUUUUCUCGUGGUAUCUUGAUAGGGCGAGGCCUCUGUUUAAAAUCAUUCUACAAGUCAGAUUGCACUAGCCAAAUAACGCCUUCUGUUGCACAAUGGUUAUUACACUAAACUGAACACCUGAACUGAGUGCUGACAUUGUUAUUCUCAAGGCACUGGCUACUGCGGGAAUGGAAUUCUACAUUUACUGGAAGAAACCUGAGAUAAGUGAUGAAUCAAACUCUACAAAAUAUGAUUAUGGAAACAAUCUGGAAUCUGGUACUCAGUCUUUUGGUGCAUUCAACAAUUAUCAUCAGUCUGUGAUAAAAUAUCAAAAUUUGAGAGCAAUGUAAGUACAAGAGAGGUGCUGAAAUAUUGUAACAGUCACUCUGAUAAUGAACUAGUCUAGUCUUUGACAUCUCAGUUUGCAUGUACUUGUCGGACGUUGAAAAAUAACUGAGGUGGAAAGGAAUACACUUGGACGCUGUAAUACCGAGUGUAAUAUAAUACUGUACCACAAGUUUGAUAGUAUUUUGUACUAUUUUAAGUGUACACAUCUUUCUGUUUACUUUCUUUACUAGUUUUUAUUUAUAUACUAGUAAAUCAUAAACUAAAUGCUGAAUAUUCAUAGUUUGUACGUAGGAGUGAUUUUAAGGUUGUCAAUGUAAAAGUAUAUUAACAAUUCACUUUGAUGUAAUUGCUUUUGAAUUAUUCUUUGACACAAUUGCACAGUUUUAAGCUUUGUUGUUGAACAUAAUUUAUUAAUCUAGAAAAACUGAGUGAUAUUUAUAAUCAAUUUUAGCUUUAAUACACCGGUACAUAAAAAAAAAAAAAAAAAAAAAAAAAACAUGAGAUAAGCUUAUUUUAGAAAGAAA